AGAUUUCGGUAUAUUACAAAACGCGAGGAAAUUACAGAGAAAAUAAAGGUGGUCUUAUAUUCUUAGGGAAAAGACUCAUUUUCCAGGCAUUAUUUGCCUAUUUAUAACUCGCCCCUGUUGAUCAGUUAUUUCUCAUCCAUGAUCAGCCGCUAUUCCUAUUUUUCCGGGCCACUUACAGCCGAUCGGAACAGCUUGUAACCGUUUGCGGUUACUAUAACUCCCCUCAGCUAUAUGCGAUGGUUGUUCAUGCUUCUUUCGAUGCUCCCGGUGCACAUCAAAAUUUAUGCCCUUAAGAAACAGGGUUGAGUGGAGUACCGGUGUACCACCUGGCCGCGCCUUACUAGCCCAACAAUUGCCCUCUCUGCAGCUUCCGAACGGAUGCUUCGGUAGCUGGCGUAAUCAAAGGAGCGUCUCCCGAUACAGUCAGUUUCAAAUUCUUUGUACGGUAUCUCCCUAGCCAUCCUUUUCUUUUCUACGGCCACGAUCUCUCCAUCUCUUUUUGUCUUUUAUGCGGCAUUAAUUAUGUCAUCUUAAUUGCCGCCGUCUCUUCAUCAUUAUAGCCGGUAUCGGAAAUCGAUUCGACUUGACAGCUUCUUUCUUCUUCACCAAGCUUCCUCCUCUCCAUUUGCUUCAAGCAUUGUCUUCUUCGCCUUCUCUUUUCUUUUCCUUGUUUUCUCCGAUCUUUUCUCCAUCUCUGAUCUAAAGCCUGGUCUACUUCUUUCCCUUUUUCGAUCCUUAGGGUUUUUUCUUCACUUUUUUCUUUAGUUUUAGCAAUGGCGCCGCUUCCGCCUCUUCCUUCUUCUUCGUCUUUGGAUUACACUAUACUUAGACAGCUCGUCUCAUCGGACCCUUCUCGAUUCAUCUUAAGUCUUUCUUUCACUGACGAACCAACCCCUGACGAUUUCCGAUAUUCCAGUGACGGUCUUCCAUUGAUGGCCCAAACUAUUCAUCUCUAUUCUUGAUACCCGUCGGCUUCAACGGAA
rnacentral:lncRNA from 1 species